CGCUGCGCCCGGGGAAGCCUGAGGGGGGGCUGGGGGCUGCGCGCCCUGAAACUGGGGGAGUCCCUCAUUUGGGGGUGGCUUGGGUCUUUGUGCACCCCGAAACUGGGGGUCCCUGAUUACAGGGGUGCCUUGGGGUCUUUGUGCACCCCAGAACUGGGGGUCCCCGAUGACAGGGGUGCCCUGGGUCUUGUGAGCACCCCAAAACUGGGGGACCCUGAUUACAGAGGUGCCCUGGGUCUGCACACCCCGAAACUGGGGGACCCCGAUUUGGGGGGUGCAUUGGGUCUUCGUACACCCCAAAACUGGGGGUCCUUAAUUACGGGGGUGCCUUGGGUCUAGUGAGCACCCAAAAACUGGGGGGUGCCUGAUUAUGGGGGUGCCUCAAUUCUGUGCGCACCCUAAAACUGGGGGUUCCCCAAUUACAGGGGUGCCUUGGGUCUAGUGAACACCCCAAAACUGGGGGUUCCCCAAUUACAGGCGUGCCCAGGGUCUUUGUGCACCCCAAAACUGGGGGUACCCAAUGACAGGGGUGCCUUGGGUCUAGUGAGCACCCCAAAACUGGGGGAUCCUCAAUUUCCGGGGGACCCCGGGUGUGUGCGCACCCCAGAACCAAGGGAUCCCCCCAGAAUUACGGGGAUGCCCUGGGUCUAUGCACACCC